rnacentral:rRNA from 1 species
AGGAUGAACGCUGGCGGCGUGCCUAAUACAUGCAAGUCGAACGAGGUCUUCGGACCGAGUGGCGAACGGGUGAGUAACACGUUGGUACCUACCCCGAAGUGGGGAAUAACUGCCCGAAAGGGUGGCUAAUACCGCAUAAUACCGCAAGGUUAAAGCAGUAAUGCGCUUCGGGAGGGGCCUGCGUCCCAUUAGCUAGUUGGUAGGGUAAUGGCCUACCAAGGCGACGAUGGGUAGCUGGAUCGAGAGGUUGACCAGCCACACUGGGACUGAGAUACGGCCCAGACUCCUACGGGAGGCAGCAGUAAGGAAUCUUCCACAUGGACGAAAGUCUGAUGGAGCAACGCCGCGUGCAGGAUGACGGCCUUGGGUUGUAAGCCCUUUCGGCGGGGAAGAUAAUGACGGUACCGCAGAAGACGCCCCGGCUAACUCGUGCCAGCAGCCGC